ensembl:lncRNA
CAUCACUCAUUACUUUGCUGCCUAUCAGCAAUUAGCAGUGGGAGGUAGAUGAUCCUGCUUCUAGAGGCCAGGAUCAAUCCAUCCAUCUGUGCUCCACUACCAGGGGCAAGUGCAGCCUCACGUUCACUGCAUGAUGGAUGCAUGGAACGGCGCUGCGUUACUGUUAUCACUCAGUGUGCAGAUGAAAACCUCUCCCACUGGGCCAACACAACUUCCAUCAAAGGCCUGACCAAAUAUUAAGGAGGCUUUUUAUUAGCUUCGCACUUUACUGAAUGGAUAGAGGAGGUGUUGGAUUCAAGUCUCCGGAGCCCCAUGAAACUAUAUUGACAUUAUAUGAACACAGUUGGUGCUGAGGCUCGGGAUGAUUUGUUAGGAAGAGCUCCAAAAGAACAAAGGCAAAAAAGUGCUGUAAAUAAAGGAAAAACAAAAGACAUGAGCAUACUGUCAUCUGUGAGGGACACAGAUGGCGACUGACUUCAGGUCAUGGUGAAAGCACUUUGUUCUUUCCUCUGGCCAGCCCCGCUACGAUCACCCACAUCAGCUCACGCUUCCGGGCCCUGGUUAAUGUUAUUGACCGUUGUUCCGUGAAGCCAGUUGUCCUCCACGGACCCCAAAGGGACCACCAUGACAGCACCAAUGGCCUCGAGCCCUUGUCAUCCCCAUUUUUGACCAGAGACACGAG